rnacentral:rRNA from 1 species
ACUCCUACGGGUGGCUGCAGUGGGGAAUAUUGCGCAAUGGGGGGAACCCUGACGCAGCCAUGCCGCGUGAAUGAAGAAGGCCUUCGGGUUGUAAAGUUCUUUCGGUAUUGAGGAAGGUUGAUGUGUUAAUAGCACAUCAAAUUGACGUUAAAUACAGAAGAAGCACCGGCUAACUCCGUGCCAGCAGCCGCGGUAAUACGGAGGGUGCGAGCGUUAAUCGGAAUAACUGGGCGUAAAGGGCACGCAGGCGGUUAUUUAAGUGAGGUGUGAAAGCCCUGGGCUUAACCUAGGAAUUGCAUUUCAGACUGGGUAACUAGAGUACUUUAGGGAGGGGUAGAAUUCCACGUGUAGCGGUGAAAUGCGUAGAGAUGUGGAGGAAUACCGAAGGCGAAGGCAGCCCCUUGGGAAUGUACUGACGCUCAUGUGCGAAAGCGUGGGGAGCAAACAGGAUUAGAUACCCUGGUAGUCCACGCUGUAAACGCUGUCGAUUUGGGGGUUGGGGUUUAACUCUGGCGCCCGUAGCUAACGUGAUAAAUCGACCGCCUGGGGAGUACGGCCGCAAGGUUAAAACUCAAAUGAAUUGACGGGGGCCCGCACAAGCGGUGGAGCAUGUGGUUUAAUUCGAUGCAACGCGAAGAACCUUACCUACUCUUGACAUCCUAAGAAGAGCUCAGAGAUGAGCUUGUGCCUUCGGGAACUUAGAGACAGGUGAUGCAUGGAUGUCGUCAGCUCGUG